CCCUCCUUUUCCACUCCUUUUCAACAGUCUGCUCCUGCACAAGCAUCAAGUAACUUUUCUUUUGGUAACCUUGGUCAGGCACAAAUAGCUCCUUCUGGAGGGUUUGGUAGCUUCCCCAGCUCCUUUAAUCAGGGAACUUUUGGACAGAGCCCUGCUAUUCAGGCUAACAUUGUCAUGCAACCCACGUCCAUAACAAAUCCUUUUGGAACGCUUCCUGUGAUGCCUCAGAUGUCUAUUGGUCGUGUGGGCUCUUCUGCUCCAUCAGUUCAAUAUGGAAUUUCCAGCAUGCCUGUUUCUGACAAACAAGCUCCAGUGGGGUAUUCAUCUUUAGUGGCUUCUAGACAUGUAUCACAGAGAAGAAUCCGAUUGCCAGCCAG